rnacentral:tRNA from 1 species
GGAUCCGUGCCUGAGCGUUUAAGGACUACCCUGAUAUGGUAGAACACGAGGGUUAAAACCCCCCCGGCUCCU